GAGAGAGAGAGAGAGAACAUAAAAGAGAAGUGGGGAACCUAAUCCAAGAGAAAACAAUUACAGUGAAACCCAUCAUUGCAAGUCAUAAAACCACUCCAUCUCCCACUUCUUUCAACAUUCUCAUUCUCACAGCCCAAAAAAUGGAGCUCAAUAAGCUGCAGAGAGCUUCAGUAAUAGCAGCAUUAGUGUUAUUCCUUGUUUUAGUUAUGAUGGGCAAUUUCACUAGUGCAGAAAGAGGACUGAAAGAGCAAAAACCACUAGUUUUGGUUGAGAAAGAAACGAACAAGCCUGGUUUUCUAGUGAAAAUGUCUAAUUUCCUUUGGCAGAGUGACAAGACUUCUUAUGAGCCUGUUUGGCCGGAGAUGGAGUUUGGUUGGAAGAUCGUUGUAGGAUCAAUAGUUGGAUUCUUUGGUGCAGCAUUGGGUAGCGUUGGUGGAGUUGGAGGUGGUGGAAUUUUUGUGCCAAUGCUCACUUUGAUCAUUGGCUUUGAUCCCAAGUCUUCUACAGCCAUCUCUAAAUGUAUGAUCAUGGGUGCUGCAGGAUCAACAGUAUAUUAUAACCUGAGGCUUAGGCAUCCAACACUGGACAUGCCCCUCAUAGACUAUGACCUGGCAUUGCUUUUUCAACCCAUGCUUAUGCUAGGAAUCAGCAUUGGAGUAGCAUUCAAUGUCAUGUUUGCUGAUUGGAUGGUCACAGUUCUGCUUAUUAUUCUCUUCAUAGGUACGUCAACUAAAGCUUUAUUCAAAGGCAUAGACACAUGGAAGAAAGAAACAAUGAUGAAGAAGGAAGCAGCCAAGCAAUUGGAAUCAGAGUCCAAACCAGGUGAUGGUGAGGGACAAGAUUACAAGCCCCUGCCAAGCGGACCAGCUGCACUGACAAAUGAUGACGAGGAGGUCUCCCUAUUGCAAAAUAUUUACUGGAAAGAGUUAGCCCUGCUAGUGUAUGUAUGGGUGGGCUUUCUGGCAGUUCAAAUCGUUAAGUCAUACGUUAAAACGUGCUCCAUCACGUACUGGGUUCUGAACGCAUUGCAGGUACCAAUUGCUGCCUCAGUUACACUUUUUGAAGCCAUAUGCUUGCGCAAAGGGACCAGGGUGAUAGCUUCCAAAGGAAAGGAAGUCACAAACUGGAAGUUUCUUCAAAUUUUGCUUUACUGUUCAUGUGGGAUAGUGGCUGGCAUGGUGGGUGGACUUCUUGGGCUAGGAGGUGGCUUCAUCUUGGGACCUCUUUUCCUUGAAUUAGGAAUUCCUCCUCAGGUGGCAAGCGCAACGUCAACCUUUUCAAUGGUAUUCUCAUCUUCAAUGUCAGUUGUUCAGUACUACCUUAUCAAUCGUUUUCCAGUCCCGUAUGCUGCUUAUUUUGUUUUGAUUGCAACAAUUGCUGCCUUGGCCGGCCAGCACGUAGUCAGAAAGAUCAUUGCUCUUCUUGGAAGAGCAUCAAUAAUCAUCUUCAUACUGGCUUUGACAAUUUUUGUGAGCGCAAUCAGCUUAGGUGGAGUGGGAAUAGCAGACAUGGUUGAGAAGCUGGAGAAUGAAGAGUACAUGGGAUUUCAAAAUCUGUGUUACCAGUGACCAGGUUCAAUUGUAUCAGAAUAGCAGAGUGGGAUUUUUCUCAGCCGAUGACAGCUAAAUUAAUCCACCCUACUACAAACUGCUACAUAGUCUUCAAUUUCUCCAUUUAUUAAUUUCCAAGUAAAGAUACAUAUAUAAGUCAUUGAACAUUUCUUUAUUGUAUGUACAAGUAUCAUCUAAAACUACCCCAGCUGAGCUUCUUCAUGUUUUCUCUUGCAUCGCAUUAGUAAUGUUAAUUUCUUCUAUAACAAUUUUUGCAACAAAGCUGCAUUCCAUGAAUUAUUAGCAGAGUAGAU
rnacentral:misc_RNA from 1 species